rnacentral:rRNA from 1 species
UCAAGCUACUAAGGGCAUACGGUGGAUGCCUAGGCGCCAUCAGCCGAUGAAGGACGCGGUAAGCUGCGAAAAGCUACGGGGAACUGCAAGCAAGUAUUGAUCCGUAGAUGUCCGAAUGGGGAAACCCGGCAGUCGUUAUGGACUGUCAUCCGAAAGGAAGGGAACCCGGGGAACUGAAACAUCUAAGUACCCGGAGGAAGAGAAAUCAAACGAGAUGUCCACAGUAGCGGCGAGCGAAGAGGACAGAGCCCAAACCGUGGAGCUACGGCUCCGCGGGGUUGAGGACCGGCGUAAUUGACGGAAUCCUAUCCGAACUGUCUGGAAAGUCAGGCAAAACAGUGUGAAAGCCACGUAGGUUAAAGGAAGAAGUCAUGGCCGGUAUCCAGAGUACCACGAAGCACGAGGAAUUUUGUGGGAAGCAGGGGGGACCACCCUCCAAGGCUAAAGACUGAAUGGCGACCGAUAGCGCAUAGUACCGUGAGGGAAAGGUGAAAAGUACCCCGGGAGGGGAGUGAAAGAGUACCUGAAACCGUAUGUCUACAAGCAGUCGGAGCGAAAGCGACGGCGUGCCUAUUGAAGAAUGAACCAACGAGUUACGUGCAGUAGCGAGGUUAAGUGGAAGACACGGAGCCGAAGCGAAAGCGAGUCUUAAGAGGGCGAAGAGUUGCUGUACGUAGACCCGAAACCGCAGUGAUCUACCCAUGUCCAGGUUGAAGCGCAGGUAAAAUUGCGUGGAGGACCGAACCCGUGAGCGUUGAAAAGCUUUGGGAUGAGAUGUGGGUAGUGGUGAAAUUCCAAUCGAACGCGGAGAUAGCUGGUUCUCCCCGAAAUAGCUUUAGGGCUAGCCUCAAGUAGUAAGUAUAGGCGGUAGAGCACUGAUCGGGCUAGGGGCCGUAAAGGUUACCGAACCCUGUCAAACUCCGAAUGGUUAUACUGCAGAGCUUGGGAGUCAGACUACGAGUGAUAAGAUCCGUGGUCAAAAGGGAAACAGCCCAGACCACCAGCUAAGGUCCCAAAUGCCGUACUAAGUGGAUAAGGAUGUGGGGUCUCAUAAACAACCAGGAUGUUGGCUUAGAAGCAGCCACCAUUUAAAGAGUGCGUAAUAGCUCACUGGUCGAGAGACCCUGCGCCGAAGAUUACCGGGGCUAAAGUACGGAACCGAAGCUGUGGCUGUGUACGAAAGUACACGGGGUAGGGGAGCGUUCCCAUAGGGCUGAAGUCGUUCUGUAAGGAACGGUGGACUUAUGGGAAGUGAGAAUGUUGGUAUGAGUAGCGAAAAGAAAGGUGAGAAUCCUUUCCACCGAAAGCAUAAGGAUUCCUGGGCAACGAUCGUCGUCCCAGGGUAAGUCGGGACCUAAUCCGAGGCAAAGAGCGUAGGAGAUGGACAACUGGUUGAUAUUCCAGUACCGGCAGUGAUCGUUUGAGCGAUGGAGUGACACAGGAGGGUAGGCAGGCAGGAGAUUGGUUGUUCCUGUACAAGCGUGUAGGAUGGGUUAUAGGCAAAUCCGUAACCCGAAAGUCCAAGGCGUGAUGUGUAGUUUCCGCAUGGAGACGAAGCUGUUGACCCCACACUGUCGAGAAAAGCUUCUAGUGAGAGAUCUGCCGCCCGUACCGUAAACCGACACAGGUAUGCGGGGAGAGAAUCCUAAGGUGCGCGGGAGAACCCUCGUUAAGGAACUCGGCAAAAUGUACCCGUAACUUCGGGAUAAGGGUAGCCGCCAGUGUGAAGGAACUUGCUUCCGGAGCAUAGCGCGGUCGCAGAGAAGAGGCCCAAGCGACUGUUUACCACAAACUUAGGUGCCUGCUAAAGAGAAAUCUGACGUAUAGGUGCUGACACCUGCCCAGUGCCGGAAGGUUAAGGAAGGAUGUCCGGAGCAAUCCAAAGCAUUCGACCGAAGCCCCGGUGAACGGCGGCCGUAACUAUAACGGUCCUAAGGUAGCGAAAUUCCUUGUCGGGUAAG